GUUGUAAAGCUGUGAAACCCUUGCACAAUAGAGAAAACCCAACUUUUCUCUUGGAUCUUUGCAAAGCAUUGUGGGAUACCACAUUUCCUGCUGUAUCAUUUUCACGUUUACUUCUUCGGACUUGAAGCAAUAGACUUUUUUUAAAUAAUUUCAUAAAUAGAGAUAAAUCAUCCAUCUAAAUUUGUUAUGCAUGUAAAUCAAUUCGGACCAUCAAAAAACAUGGCCCAUAUGGUAUAAGGAACAUAUCCCAAAAUUUAAUAAUUACACUUAUUAUAGGUUUCUAUCCAUCCAAUAAGUGGUGGAUAGUUACAAAAAAGGUCAGCACCAAAGAUUUAAUAGAUGAUAACAUGUGGUUAAGUUAGUCGAGCAAAUGUGAAUUAUAUGUUAGUUUUACCAUGCAAUCACAUUAUCUCCACCAUGCAUAAUGUAACAAUGAUGGACCUCAAGCGCUGCAAAGGAAAAACCAUUCUUACAUUAUCUUCAAUUGCACGGUUGUAUUAGCUCUAAAUAUUCAUGGAUGGUUCAUAAUGUUCAGAGGUUUUGACAUACCGUUGUCUAUCCUUUCGGCUAUUGUAAACAAAAUAAAAAUAAAAA